rnacentral:rRNA from 1 species
CUCCGGUUGAUCCUGCCGGGACCCGACUGCUAUCGGAUUGAGAUUUAGCCAUGCGAGUCGAACGUCCCCCUGUUGCGGGGGGCGUGGCGUACGGCUCAGUAACACGUAGUCAACCUGCCCUGGAGACAAGGACAACCCCGGGAAACUGGGAUUAAUCCUUGAUAGGUCAUCUCAUCUGGAAGGAGAGAUGGCUUAAAGGGGUACGCGGGCUUCUUCCGCGAAUCUGCUCCAGGAUGGGACUGCGUCCGAUCAGGCUGUUGGCGGGGUAAUGGCCCACCAAACCUGUAACCGGUACGGGCCUUGAGAGAGGUGGCCCGGAGAUGGACACUGAGAGAAGGGUCCAGGUCCUACGGGGCGCAGCAGGCGCGAAACCUUCGCAAUGCGCGAAAGCGUGACGAGGUUAAUCCGAGUGACUCCCGCUGAGGGGGUCUUUUGUCAGCUGUAAAUAGGCAGGCGAAUAAGGGGAGGGCAAGCCUGGUGUCAGCCGCCGCGGUAAUACCAGCUCCUCGAGUGGUCGGGGCGAUUAUUGGGCCUAAAGCAUCCGUAGCCGGUUCCGUAGGUCCUCUGUUAAAUCCAACCGCUUAACGGUUGACCUGCAGAGGAUACCGCGGGACUAGGAGGCGGGAGAGGCGGACGGUACUCCGCGUGUAGGGGUAAAAUCCUUUGAUCCGCGGAAGACCACCAGUGGCGAAGGCGGUCCGCCAGAACGCGCUCGACGGUGAGGGAUGAAAGCUGGGGGAGCGAACCGGAUUAGAUACCCGGGUAGUCCCAGCCGUAAACGAUGCUAGCUAGAUGAUUCAUUCGCAAGUCGCGAAUGAAGUGUCGCAGGGAAGCCGUUAAGCUAGCCGCCUGGGGAGUACGGUCGCAAGACUGAAACUUAAAGGAAUUGGCGGGGGAGCA